UACAGAGGGGGCAAGCGUUGUUCGGAAUUACUGGGCGUAAAGGGCGCGUAGGCGGCCCGCUAAGUCGAACGUGAAAUCCCCGAGCUCAACUCGGGAACUGCGUCCGAUACUGGUGGGCUUGAAUCCGGGAGAGGGAUGCGGAAUUCCAGGUGUAGCGGUGAAAUGCGUAGAUAUCUGGAGGAACACCGGUGGCGAAGGCGGGUCUCUGGGCAGUAACUGACGCUGAGGAGCGAAAGCGUGGGGAGCGAACAGG
rnacentral:rRNA from 1 species